UACGUAGGGUGCAAGCGUUAAUCGGAAUUACUGGGCGUAAAGCGUGCGCAGGCGGUUUUGUAAGUCUGACGUGAAAUCCCCGGGCUUAACCUGGGAAUUGCGUUGGAGACUGCAAGGCUGGAGUCUGGCAGAGGGGGGUAGAAUUCCACGUGUAGCAGUGAAAUGCGUAGAGAUGUGGAGGAACACCGAUGCCGAAGGCAGCCCCCUGGGUCAAGACUGACGCUCAUGCACGAAAGCGUGGGGAGCAAACAGG
rnacentral:rRNA from 1 species